GAUGAACGCUGGCGGCGUGCCUAAUACAUGCAAGUCGAGCGAACAGAUGAGGAGCUUGCUCCUCUGACGUUAGCGGCGGACGGGUGAGUAACACGUGGAUAACCUACCUAUAAGACUGGGAUAACUUCGGGAAACCGGAGCUAAUACCGGAUAAUAUAUUGAACCGCAUGGUUCAAUAGUGAAAGACGGUUUUGCUGUCACUUAUAGAUGGAUCCGCGCCGGAUUAGCUAGUUGGUAAGGUAACGGCUUACCAAGGCAACGAUGCGUAGCCGACCUGAGAGGAGGCGGAGCAACAGGGGGACUGAGACAAGGGACGGGAUCAUCGGGGAGGACGCAGUGGGGAAUAUUGGACAAUGGGAGCAAGUCUGAUCCAGCCAUAGCGCGUGAGUGAAGAAGGCCUUCGGAUUGUAAAGCCCUUUUGUGGGGAAAGAAGAGCAGCAGGUUAAUACCCCGCUGUUCUGACGGUACACAAAGAAUAAGCACCGGCUAACUUCGUG
rnacentral:rRNA from 1 species